GUUCUAGUAGCUUAUAUGUAAAGCAUGGCACUGAAGAUGCCAAGAUAGCGGUUUUAUUCGUUUUAGAACG
rnacentral:tRNA from 1 species